GGACUUGAGGGUGAUCUGGCUCUGACAUCUGUCACCCCAUUGAUGAAUCAACCCAGGGUUGAUUCGCUGAUCUGGCUGGCUAGGCGGGUGUCCCCCUUCUCCCUCACGUCUCCAUGUAUGUCUCUCCUGAAGGUAGGAGCUUGGUAGAAGAGGAUGACCUUCCCUGAACAGAGACAGUGGAGGUUAUACUAGUAGCUGCGCUCCCUUUCUAGAACCUCUAGACAAUAAGUAAUGAUAACAAGGGCAACAAAUUGGGAAAAAUGAGCUCCAGGAGCAGUGGAUUCAUUAGUCUUUCU
rnacentral:snRNA from 1 species